GAGCAAAUGCAAGUGAAAAAAAUAGUUCCCCUUAGCAUUGUUUCCAUGGAAUCCGAUAAUGCUGCCAUGGAAGAAGAUGAAUCCUCUAUUGCAGCCGACAGAGCUGGACAUGGAAGUUUGCAUAAGCCUGGCAAAUGUUAUAGAACAAGGACCACUAUGAUGGAUACUGAUGACUGAAAUGUAUGAUUUCACUUGUGUGUGAAUUCCUUUUGAAAAU
rnacentral:misc_RNA from 1 species